rnacentral:rRNA from 1 species
CUGAAAUCAAGUGGGAUUACCCGCUGAA